rnacentral:rRNA from 1 species
AUUGAACGCUGGCGGCAGGCUUAACACAUGCAAGUCGAGCGGGGUGAUGGUGCUUGCACUAUCACUUAGCGGCGGACGGGUGAGUAAUGCUUAGGAAUCUGCCUAUUAGUGGGGGACAACAUCUCGAAAGGGAUGCUAAUACCGCAUACGUCCUACGGGAGAAAGCAGGGGAUCACUUGUGACCUUGCGCUAAUAGAUGAGCCUAGGUCGGAUUAGCUAGUUGGUGGGGUAAAGGCCUACCAAGGCGACGAUCUGUAGCGGGUCUGAGAGGAUGAUCCGCCACACUGGGACUGAGACACGGCCCAGACUCCUACGGGAGGCAGCAGUGGGGAAUAUUGGACAAUGGGGGGAACCCUGAUCCAGCUAUGCCGCGUGUGUGAAGAAGGCCUUAUGGUUGUAAGGCACUUUAAGCGAGGAGGAGGCUCUUUUGGUUAAUACCCAAGAUGAGUGGACGUUACUCGCAGAAUAAGCACCGGCUAACUCUGUGCCAGCCGCCGCAGUAA